rnacentral:lncRNA from 1 species
GGAGAAAAUAGUUUUUAAUUGCCAGGGCAUUAGACAAUGGAAUCUCACCAAAAUACAUCUCUUAAGACAAAACCUAACUUUCAACUUAAAUUGACUUUUAUGAACUGCAUUAAGUAUCAUGGAUGUGAGAAGUCCCACAGCCCACUAAGAUGGAGCACCAGUUAAACUCAGAAUGUCAGAAUUCAGAAAUCUGAAUCAUUAAAGUAUUUUAUGUAAAGUAUCAUCUCUAGGAAAUACAGAGAGGCAGAGGGGCUACAAGUUUACAGGAAUUUGCUCCUAAAUUAUAUUUGUUUGGUCAGUCAACACUAUUAGGACGAGAAAAACUGUAUCCCAAACUUCUUGUGAAAGAAAAAAAAAAAAAAAAACAGAAGAUUGCUAACUCCAGAAAGGUGCUUCAUUUUUUUGGUUGGUUGGUUUGUUGGUUUGUUUGUUGAUUGGUUGGUUGGCAGGUCAGUUGGUUGGUUGGUUGGUUGGUUGGUUGGUUGGAGGUUGGUUAGUUGGUUGGUAGUUGGUAGCUUGGUCAUUGGUUGGUAGAUUGGUUAGUAGACUAGUAGAUUGGUUGGUUUGUUGGUAGGUUGAUUGGUUGGUUUGUUGGCUGGUACAUUGGUGGGUAGGUAGGUUGGCUGGUAGGUUGGUUGGUAGAUUGGUUGGUUUGUUGGUAGGUUGGUUGGUUUGUUGGUAGUUUGGUUGGUUGGUUGGUUGAUUGGUUGAUUGGCUUGUUGAUGGAUUUGUUGGUUGGCAGAUUGGUUGGUAGGUUGAUAGGUUGGCUGGUUGGUUGGUAGACUGGUUGGUUUGUUGGUAGGUUGGCUGGUUGGUUGAUUGGUUUGUUGGUUGGUAGAUUGGUGGGUAGGUUGGUAGAUUGGUGGGUAGGUUGGUACAUUGGUUGGUUGAUUGGUUUGUCAGUUGGUAGGUUGGUAGAUUGGUUGGUUUGUUGGUUGGUAGAUAGGCGGGUAGGUUGGUAGGUUGGUUGGUUGAUACAUUUGUGGGUUGGUAGGUUGGUUAGUUGAUUGGUAGAUCAAUUAGUUGGUAGGUUGGUUGGUAGGUUGGUUUGUACGUUGGUUGGUUGGUUGGUUGGUUGGCUGGUAGUUUGGUUAGUUGGUUGGUUGGUUGGUUGGUUGUUGAUAGGUUGGUUGGUAGGUAGGUUAGUUAGUUGGUUGGUAGAAUGGUUGGCUAGUUGGUAGGUUGGUAGGUAGGUUGAUUGGUAGGCUGAUUAGUUUAUUCCAAUUGUCUCUGUGUGGUGAAUAAUCUGUGUUGACUCAAUCUAGGUUUGUUUUCAGAUCACUAGGUGUCUGGUAGGAGUGAGCCAUCUCUUCCUCCCUCUCCCACAGGAUGGCCAUGCUUCUCUCUGAUACCUGAACUUUUUGUCCCAGCAUGCCAAUUUUUCCUAUUGUUGAGCUCAAAUCAGAAGUUGCCUGACCUCCAGAGGACAAGAUUCACCAGGUUUUAUUUUUAUUUCAAGAUAUCCUUGGGCAGAGAGAGGCAGAAGCAAGCAGCUCCUAUAUGGGUAUGAGGGUAAACCCCCCAUAGAUUGAAG